rnacentral:lncRNA from 1 species
AACUUGUAUGCUGACGGAUUGGGCCCUUUGUAACCAAUGGCCAAAGUUUGUGGCGUCAUCGGUUGUUGUCCCGUUGCUAACUCGAAUGGACUUGCCCCUGUUGACUCGCUCUUCUGUAGAUUAUAAGAAAAUUGGGCAAUGUCCAAUAACUUGGGACAAUCUUUUUGGUUGGCGCUGAUAAAGUGGCGAAGAUAUAACUCCAGCAAAGCAUUCACCCGU